GGAGCCGAGCUGGAGCUGGAGCACCUCUCACACCCUCCUCGCCCUCCCCACCGACAUCAUGCUCCAGUUCCUGGUGAGUGGGGCCUCGGAGGAUCGGGCCUCGCGGUCGCCUCGUUCCCCCGGGGUCCCGGGUCGGCGGUGCACGGCUCUGCAGUUGGGGCUCGUCGCCCUCGGGUUUGCUCGCGCAGUUUUCCUCUGGCCUCCUCCUAAGUCCUUGGGUCUUUGCCUGGGUUUGUUUAUAUGUAGUCCUUCAAGUUCCGAAAACUUUGGGGUGUCAGUGAUAUGACUGCGUUUUCAAAAAACCACUUACUGUGAGCUCUUGGCGAAAUCUUCGCGCUUGGAUUUACUUUGGGCAACGUGGUUGGAAUGUAUCUGGCUCAGAACUAUGAAAUGCCAAACCUGGCUAAAAAACUUGAAGAGAUUAAGAAGGACCUGGAAGCCAAGAAGAAGCCCCCUAGUUCCUGAUGCCUGCCUGGCACUGCAAUCUGGACCCACCAGUUCCAUCCUGGGGGGCCUGUCUCCUUCACAGCCACGUCCAAAGCUGUGUUCCUCUUUGGUCUCAGACCCUGCGCGUUGCUGAGGCUCCAGCACGGGCCAGAAGUGGAGUUAGCUUUCCGUUUCCAGCAUCUCCCCGUUCCCGUAUCUUCCGUCCACCUGCUUCUGAGACCUAAGCCUGGAACCAUGGUGCUAGGUUAGCAGCCGCAACCAUGACAGGACUCACUCGCCUGUGCUCUGGGAUUCCUACCGCCUACUGUCAAGAAAUGAAUGGAUUUGGAUAGCUGCUGGGGACUCACUGUCUAGCAGUGAUAACAGGAGCUUGCUAGACAAACUAAACUGUGUUAAAGUCAUUAAAGUCAGUAUCUUCAAGCCA